rnacentral:rRNA from 1 species
AUGGCGGCGCUUCGGUAUUCGGCGAGGAGGCUGGGUGGCUCCCUGCUCCAUCGAACGCAGGCCGCGGUCGAGGAGGAGGGACGCCGGCUCAUGCGCCCCCGCCAGAUCUCAACCGAGUUCUUCGGCGAGCAUGCUCGUGCACCCUCUGCACGCCAGGUACAGCAGAAGAAGGAGGAGCUGUAUGAGGCGGUGUCUAAGGCGGAACAGAAGAAGCAGGAGCUGCUCAAUUUGAUGGCUAAUGAGCAGCAUUUUUCUGCACAAUCCACUCAAGGACAAGCUGCCCCUCUGCCCUGGAAGGUGUACUCGAAAAGGGCUCGGGGUGUGCUAGAUGUAGCUUGCAAGGCGACAUUUUUCGUCUAUGCUGGUGCUUUUCUGCUCGGUAUCACUGGCACCGGCAGGAUGCUGGGGCUAACAAGCCAAGUCGCCAGUCAAGACGAGAUCGACGAUUGA